CAUAAAGGUCACAGUUUUGAGUUUUUAUGUCAAAUGUUUGAUUAUCUGUUUUAUUUGAAAAAAAUAUGAUUUAGUAUUUUUAUCGUUAUUAAAUGAUAAAACAUGAAUAAUACUUUAUGCAUGACUAUUUUUUAAAAAAUUUAAAUAAGACGAUGGUCGAACGUUGGAUAUGGAAACCCACAAUUGCACUUAAA
rnacentral:pre_miRNA from 1 species